rnacentral:piRNA from 1 species
GUAGAACAGAGAACUGACAGAAAGUAA